GGGUACCCAUAGUAUUCUACACUUAGUACUGCACAAGUGACCUAACUAUCUAGUACACGUAGUACCCUACACUUAGUACUACACACGUGACCUAACCAUUUGAUACACGUAAUAGCCUGCACUUAGUACUACACACGUGAUUGAAGUUGUCGGGUAUGCAUAGUAGCCUCCACUUAGUACUACACAUGCAACUUAACUAUCUGGUACGUGUAGUAGCCUGCACUUAGUACUACACACAUGACCUAAAAGCAUCUUAAACACAUAGUAGCCUGCACAUAGGACUACACAUGUGUUCUCACAAUGGAUCAUUCGUAUCAUUUCUAUUCCAAAGGUUCAACUGG
rnacentral:lncRNA from 1 species